CCUACGGGGGGCAGCAGUGGGGAAUAUUGGGCAAUGGGCGAAAGCCUGACCCAGCGACGCCGCGUGAAGGAAGAAGGUCUUCGGAUUGUAAACUUCAGUAGGCAGGGACGAAGGAAGUGACGGUACCUGCAGAGUAAGCCACGGCCAACUACGUGCCAGCAGCCGCGGUAAUACGUAGGUGGCGAGCGUUAUCCGGAUUUACUGGGUGUAAAGGGUGUGUAGGCGGGGCUGCAAGUCUGGUGUGAAAUUUAACGGCUUAACCGUUAAUGUGCAUUAGAAACUGCGGCUCUUGAGGGCCGGAGGGGUAAACGGAAUUCCCGGUGUAGCGGUAAAAUGCGUAGAUAUCGGGAGGAACACCAGUGGCGAAGGCGGUUUACUGGACGGCAACUGACGCUGAGACACGAAAGCGUGGGGAGCAAACAGGAUUAGAUACCCGUGUAGUC
rnacentral:rRNA from 1 species